ensembl:lincRNA
GUGGAAACUUAAAGAAAUGUGGUGGAUGAUGGAGAAAAGGGAAUUUCUCAAAUUUUAUGAUGUUCAGUCUAAGUCCUUUUGCUGCUUUUUGUUCAUUCCAUUUCAUGCAGUUAGAGUGAGUAUUCCUGCCAAAUACUGAGUGUGCAAUGAUUCAGUGAUGGUGAAAAUGGACCAGCAAACACAGAAAAAGCAACAAAACCAAAAGCAAGCCCAGGAAAAAUAGUUUAUCCACGUGAAUAGUCAGAACAAAUUCUCUAUCUUCACAAAGUAAGAAAGUGAAAAACCCUUUGGGCAGGAUAAGGUUUACCUGAACAGUCUCACUACUUAGAAAGCAUGUAAAGUAGGCCUUGAUAGAAGACAGAAAAUGAGGAAUGUGGCAGAGAGAAAAAACUGAAAAGAACAAUAGGAGCAGUAGGAAUGGAUACACAGAACUGGCUGGGACUCAAAAAUUCCUUUCAGUUGAGAUUCUUACAGAAAUGAGCAAGAAUGGAAUAUGGUAUACACUGGACACUUUCUUGCCAGACCUCCUUAGACUCUGCACCAUGCAGUCAGGGCAGCAGUCAUCUUGGCUGAAGAUAACCUCAGCAUGCCUCUGGGAUGAACAGAAGUGGAACCAUGGAAUUCUUUUUCAACCUUUUUAAUUACAGGUAUUUUUGGUAGCACUGGGAGAGGCAUGGAAAUAAUGGCACAGAAAACUUCCCUUAAUCCUGCAACCCAUGCAAAACUACACAUUACUACUGGCCUUGCAGGGCAGGGUCCUAAAUCCUCUAAUUCUUUGAGCAGAGGUCCCACUCCCUUUGAAAUUGCCAUGCUUGUUUGUUUCUCAGUAUGUAGCAUUCUGUUAUGGUUUAUAUAGAGAGUGUCUCUCAAAGGCCUCAGUCUGGUUGGAAGGGUUGGGACACUGAGGAUGCAACCUAGAAUUGUAUAUUUCCCUUCUCAGAUCCUCCCUUCUCUCUCUACUUCAAGGUUGUCAUGAUAUGAUCACCUUUUCACUAUCCUCCUCUGCUGUGAAGUAUCUGCCUUGAAACCAGAAGACCAUGGAUUGUAAUUGGGAAGCAAACUAAUCUCUUCCUUCAAAUUGUGGAUAUUGGAUAUUAUGUUCCAAUGAUGAAAAAAGUGACCAAAACUUGGUGUCAGGAGUGGGUUCCUUACUGUGAUUAUCUGUUCAUGUGGUAGUUCAAUGAUCAGGCUGGAGCAUAAGUACUGCUUGUUGCUUUUACUGAAAUUUAUACUAAGAAUCAGGAACAAAAUCCAGAGCCAAAUGGCAUGAAGCUUGGUCAAAAGAAAACACCAGCAAGGUCAAUACAUUGGAGAGAUUGGUUGCUUAAAAUAUCAGCAUUAGAAAGAAAUAAAUUACUUGACAUCAAGACAAUAGUAAAGAUGCAUUGGGGAUAUCUUGGGAAUCAGCAAGACUCCACUCUUCAUUGGGUCAAGUGUGUAAAAGGUUAAGGGUAAACUUCUUUGAAAGAAUUUGCUUUCAAAAGAAAACCCAAGGGUCCCCUGCUGUAAAGGGCCACCUAAGACAUUUGGUCCCUGAAAUUUGAUUGAUAAUUCUCAGCUAUUUGGGUAUUUGGAGGCCUCUGCAGCCAUAAUCCAAGAGGGACUGGCUACAGCUUGACAAGGUGGCAAAGGCAACUACCAAGUGAUGCAUGGGGAAUGCAAGAGAUGUGGAGUCAGGGGAGCUUCCUUCCAGGUUUCAAAGAAAGGCCUGAGAGGCAUGGCAGUGGGCCUUUGAGGGGAUGGUGCAUUAAGAUGUAUGAGUGAAGCUAAAAAUGCAAUGGACAUUCCCAGGUAGUUGGCUAUGCCAAAAAUAUGGAUGAUCUACUGAGGAAAUCUUGAGGCAGUGAACAAAGCCAGCCUAAGAGAGAGUCCAUGAGAAUUACAACUAACAAUGCUGUAGGGCAAGGCCACUCAGACCCUUCAGAGUUCACAUCUACCAUCACCUGCCUUGGGUAUUGCACAUGGAAUGUGGGAAUUAAUUUUUGCCCUGCUGCAUUUCUCUCAUUCUUUGAUCCCGUUCCUUUCUAUCCCUCUGUUGCUUCCUUUUUGAUUGGGAGUAUGUUC